GCCCCGGUGGUGCAAUGGUUAAGCACUCGACUGCUAAUCGAAAGGUUGGUGAUUCAAACCCACUCAUUGGCU
rnacentral:tRNA from 1 species